AUUGAACGCUGCGGCAGGCUUAACACAUGCAAGUCGAGCGAGCGGCGGACGGGCGCGUAAGGCUUAGUAAUCUGCCUAUUCGUGGGGGACAACAUAUCGAAGGGGAUGCUAAUACAGCAUACUUAUAGAUGAGCCUGGUCGGAUUAGCUAGUUGGUGGGGUAGAGGCCUACCAAGGCGACGUUCUGUAGCUGGUCUGAGUGGAUGACCAGCCACACUGGAACUGAGACACGGUCCACACUCCUACGGGGGGCAGCAGUGGGUAAUAUUCACAAUAGGCGCAAGCCUGAUGCAGCCCUGCCGCGUGUGUGAAGAAGGCCUUCGGGUUGUAAAGCACUUUCAGCGGGGCGGCGUUACCCGCAGAAGAAGCACCGGCUAACUCCGUGCCAGCAGCCGCGGUAAUAC
rnacentral:rRNA from 1 species